CUUUCUGAAGGCACGUUCUCUCAUUUGCUUGAUGAAAACAACUGGGAUGACAGACCAUGAAUAACUUGUUAUCUUUGGGCAUUGAGCCGCCUGUUGGGAUGCAAGGCAUGUUGGUCUAACUCUUGGGAAAUGACUUGUCUGGGAGGCCAGCUGACACCAGCAAAUAUAAAGUUGAAGGGAAACAUCAACGGCUACCACCAACUCUGUCCAACUCUGUGGGAGCCAUGCUCCGAGGUUCAACUUUGCCCGCCCAAAUGAACUACUUUCUCCAUGGAAGAGUCCCG